CAGAGGAGGACGGGCCAUGGAAGGAGUUGGGACUUUCCCCCUUUUGGCCCUUGGCACCUUCAUCAGAACUUAGCCUGGGACUCCUUUCUCCGCUGACCUGGGGCAGCCAGUCUUGCAACCAAAGCCCUCUGCUGAAACGCUCCGUGCAGCCCUGUCUACUGAGGGCUCAGGAUCUUCACCUUGCUACUUGACCAGUCCUGGGACUCCAUCCUCAGCUCACUACAGGCAACACCCUUCAAAGCAAGAUCCUUGCUUCAAUGGGACCUCAGAUUUGGACAUUCAGGCUGGGGCUUCCCCCACCAGACCAAGAUUCUCCCUUCCCUGAGACCCUCCAGGCCGAAAUGACAGUCACCUCAACCUGACAGCUCUUCCUGAGCUUCCCAAGUCACAGGAGAGGCUUUUGGUUUUGGACCAUGAGAAUGGCUUACAUAUUCAAAAGGUUGGAUUUGGGAAGCAAUGCUAAGCAGUGGAAUGGACAUCGACAUAGAGAGAUCAGCUCCACACUUAUACUCUGCCACUCAACUUCCCCAUGUGACUUGAGGAUCACUCUAACUCCAAAACAUAGCAAGCUCGCGGAACAUCAGGGUUCAUGCAAAGUAUUCCAAGGAGCCCCUUGAAGCAACAGAAUGGAUUGCUCUUCUAUGGUGGAAUGGCACCCUGGAUGAUUAAAACCGUAGCAGCAAACAAAACCUCCAUCAAGUAAGAAUUCAGAGUGUGAGAUAUCACGCACAGCCACGCGUGGAUCUUUAUAUACGUGUCAAUGUGUUUGAUUGUAUUUUUGCUUUCAAAGUAUGUAUUGAGCAUUUCUUCUAGGUCCUCAGUAACAUCUUUUUAAAAAAAAAAUAAAUGCUUAGGGAAUUGUUUUAUAUUAAACUCGCUUCCAUUGUUAUCAACUUGGAGAGUGUCCCUCAUACAUGGAGCUCUCUCACAGGAUUGACUUUUCAUAUUAGGAGUGUAAAUAAAAGUUGUUCCUUGGUUUGUGUAUUACAGAUAUUCCUGAAAACAGAGUCAAGUUAUAUUUCUAAAGUACUAGCGUCUGCUUAAAGAAAUGACAAGGUGAAGUCUUUCACAAAGUAAGCAUUCAAUGUAUGAUUUCUCUGCUAUGUAAAUCUGGUUGUUCAUACAGUUUCUAUGACAUAAUUGGCCACGAC
rnacentral:lncRNA from 10 species